UCGAUUAUAGCCGUGUUCCUUUAAUUGUCUCGUAAAGACAGGAGGGAAACAGAGCUUACGGUUUAAGCGAAAAUAUGAGCCUGCAAACACACGAGAUAACGAUGCUGGGGGGCAUACUAUCGUAGCAGUAACUAUGGUUAUUAGAGUCGUUCGCUGACGGGAUGACCCUGCUUACCUCGGUUCGUUAGCUGAUAAUCAUUAGCGUUUCUGUAAAUUGGACUCGACGGAUUUUACGUUGCCUGAAGAAGAUCUCCGCACAGUGGCAUAGAUAUGAUGUGCUGACAACCCAUUGCCGUAUCCCACCCACCAGACCGGGUCAUUACUAAGAAAUUCGCACCAGCCCCCAUCUCAAAGCUCGCCCCCCAAAUACCGUCACCUGUCUGGAUAAGCCAUUGCUGUACAUAUGUUAAUAUCUGCACAUGGUUUGGCACAUAGGAGUGAAGUUUUAAUAUGAUCCAUCUUCAAAUCAAUCGCAGUGCAAUCAGUAUAGCUACGACGCCCCAUGUAUUACAUCAACAAAAAGACACGCGUUGAUAUACUUGUACAUUGCAUUACCACUAUAUACCUACCGCGUCUUCCGGACCGUUCUACCCCGUGGAUGCAUAAUAACUUCUUACUUCAUUAUUAUCUAUUCAAAUUUCUUGAUAAUCUAGCGAGUGUGUACGUCGCAGCAUAUUCUAGUAACGUUCCGUGGAAAGCAAAAACUCAGUGAGGGUCCGAACAUCCCAAAGAGAGAAACCACGCAGCGUAACAUGGCUAAUGGAGUUCGAACUGAGCCGUGGGCCGUAGCCAAACGCAAUGUGUGCCAGGAGAUAGGCAUCGGUCGCGUAGGUUCCCCCUUCCUUGCUCUGCUUUUCCAUCGUGAAUCCAUAACAAAUCAACCUGUGAUGCACAUAGGAGAAUCAAUUAGGAGAUUAGCAAAUCUCCUCAAAAAAAUGCCUUAUUUUUGAUCUUCUUAAGAAAGAGCGUGAGGGGGUAACGAAGAAGUAAGUCAACCAAAACGACGAGUACCAGCUCGAAAGCAGAGGUUCGUGUGACGCCUGUUUUCUACCGAGAUUCAUAAAAAAAAAGAAUUUGAAAGGACAGCUUAAAAAGCAGCUAGAUUCGAGCUCGGUGCGAAAGGCUUCGGCAACCACUUGUUUACACGCUUCUGGACCUGCGUCUCCUGUCGCUACGUUACGCGCAUAGUUAAAUGCUGAAAUUUCCUUAUUACUACUACUGCUGCUCCCUGCGUAGCCUAACGAGAUCUAGAUAAAAAUUAUGAUGGUAGCGAUAAUGGUCGUAUGAAGUCGAUUGUGGCGUUGGUUCUAUCUCCUUUUUUGUUUGCUCCUAUUUUUCCUGCCUGUUGAAUAUGUCUGAUCUUAUUGGCUAUGUUUGGAAUACUCCAUUUGGACAAAAAUAUGGCCGAUGGACGAACGUGUGGAAAAUAUUCAGCAUCUUGCAGCACCAGGCAGCGGGAAGAGCGGGAAUAUGGAGCGCUUUCUGACAAUGUCGAAAAGACAGUUUCAAAUGCAUUCUUGGGGUAUGGAGGGGAUCACAUAAGUAUUUUCAACAAUGCAAAGACCG